rnacentral:rRNA from 1 species
AUUGAACGCUGGCGGCAGGCCUAACACAUGCAAGUCGAGCGAGCGGCGGACGGGUGAGUAAUGUCUGGGAAACCGUCUGAUGGAGGGGGAUAACUACUGGAAACGGUAGCUAAUACCGCAUACCAUCAGAUGUGCCCAGAUGGGAUGAGCUGGUAGGUGGGGUAACGGCUCACCUAGGCGACGAUCCCUAGCCGGUCCGAGAGGGUGACCAGCCACACUGGAACUGAGACACGGGCCAGACUCCUACGGGAGGCAGCAGUGGGGAAUAUUGCACAAUGGGCGAAAGCCUGAUGGAGCCAUGCCGCGUGAGUGAAGAAGGCCUUCGGGUUGUAAAGCACUUUCAGCGGGGAGGCGUUACCCGAAGAGAAAGCACCGGCUAACUCCGUGCCAGCAGCCGCGGUAAUAC